UUUGUUUCUUUUAUUAAAUAUAUUUUUAAUGGAGCAUAAUUACUUUAUAAUGUUGUAUUGAUUUCUGCCAUAAAACAAGGAGAAUCAGCCAUAAGUAUACAUAUAUUCCUUCUCUCUUGAGCAUCCCUCCUACCUUCAUCACAUCCCACCACUCCAGGUUGUCAAAGAGCAACAGGCUGAUGUGGAAGAACCUAGAACCUGUUAUACAGAGUAAAAAAACCCAGAGCUUAGGCACCUCCUUCUUGAUCCUGAUAAGAACCUGAUGUGGACCAAUGAUUCUGAAACCAUCCUUAGCCCAUGUUCAUCAUCAUCUAGUAUAAGCCAAGCAAAGUACCCACCACUUUCUGGAGAAAGAGGUGACCUUAUAUGCCAUCCAUGUACUUUGGUCCACUGAAGACACUGUGGAAGCCAAAAGGUGGACCUAAACCACUCCCUCAACAGGUCUGUAGCAGUCUCCAGUGUUCGGAGCAAUGGUGUCCGGAUGAGCAGCAAGUCCCUGUGCAUCUACUGCUCACCAGGAUCCAGCUCUUGAAGGGUGACGACCACAAUUCCACCUGAAAAUUCUACUUUGACAUCUAACCUCUCCUCUGAUGUUCCUGACUUCACUCUGCACUUCUUUAAUUGCAACAACUAAGCAAAUGAAAAUGAUUGUGAAGGUUUUGGUCGGACAGGGUGCUGACAGCACAUUGUGUCCAUCUGAAUCCGUAUGUUGGAGGUUUCCAGCGGUGACACCUCCCCCAUUACAGACACACAAGGUAUAUCCAGUGACAAAGAAGCAAAAAGGAUCCAAGAGAAAGAAAUCAGAAAAUUUGAAUACAGAGGGAGGAAAGAAUUUAAGUUGUUACAAAGGCCCACAGUUUAAUCCAGUUGGAAAUCUAGAAUUUGGUACAAGAAUUUAUACUCUGGUAAGACCUUUUUCCUUGACUGACAGCUGUCUUAUUACUGUGUCCUCACAUGGUAUUUACUUUGUUUAGUGUGGGGAGAGAGAGAGCUCUGUGGAAUCUCUUACUCUUCUUAUAAGGAUGCCCUCCAGUUGGAUUACAGCUGCAUACUUAUGACCUCAUUUAAUCUUAGUUACACCUUAAAGGCAGUAUCUCCAAAUAUAGUCACAUCGGGGGUUAGGGUUACAACAUACCCAUUUUGAGAGAAUAGGAUUCACUGGCUCAGGGUCUCUGAGUACCUCUAUUUUGAGGAUGGCCCAGUAUGUGGCUGACAGUUGCCACUCUAUAAUCAUAUGUAGUACAGGGCCAAGAAGGGUAGUUUCUUGCAUCAGUGGCCUGUGAGCAACUUUUAAAUGUCAUGGGUGGUCAGAGAUGCCACUGGGGCAUAACAGAGGUUACUAAUUCCUCAACAAUGAAGGGACCUCUGGAGAUAGUAAUGUAAGUGUCCAUUGAUUUAGACUUGGACAGAUUCUAGAGUCUUUUGUCAGAAGGUUUUAUCAUUUUGUUAAUAUAAAUGGUUUUACAAAUUCUGGGUUUCUGAUUAAAUUGUAUCUUUAAAUAGAAAUAGCUAUAAAACAAGUUAAUAAAUUGAUUGAUUGA